CCCGAAGCCACCGGAGUUCGUUGGCGCAAACCCGCAACAUACUGGAGAAGAUCCUGUCGUGUCAGUCGACGCCAGAUCCAAACGGAGUCUUGCCGGGGAUACGUCGGCCUCGAGCCGCUACGCGUCGGAUAAUCACUCUUGUGCAUUUGAAUUCUCCAUCCUUACUCGUGCGUUAUUACAAGAAAUCGCAACGCAACCACUGUUGAUAGAUGAAGGAUUCAAGAAUCAAGUUAGGGUGGAUUAGAAACACACCUAGGAAUAAACUAUGUUGGAAUCUUGUUUUGUUUAUUUGAACAAUGUAUAGCAUUCUAGCAUUUAUGAAAUUGAAUUUAAAUUA